AUUCACUAGUGAUUCAUCUCUGGCGAUCAUACCGGAGCGCGCCUCUUAUCAAGGCAUGUGCGCCAGGCUCAAGCACAUCCACUUUCGUAUUCGUUGCAUUCAGCGGGACGCUGACUGGAAUGUCUUCACCGUCGGCGUCCAGACGGAACAAAGCCACCUGCUCUGCUCCGUCCGAUACUGAGAAUACUCUCGGCAUACCGACGAUUUUCCCCUCUGCCACUGCCAGAUUCAUUUCCCGCCUCCCAAUUUCAAACACCCAGACAGAAGUGCUUGAAGUUGCGGGUUCCGAGAAAUCAGCGCCGCAUUCUCCGCAUCCUGCACACACCGCCCGUCAAUCGAAUUCCCGCGGCC
rnacentral:rRNA from 1 species